rnacentral:tRNA from 1 species
UUUGGUUAAAAUGGCCGGCUUUGAGCCAAGAGACCAUGGUUCAAUUCCUCCUAGUGCC